GCGCAGCAGCCAGAUUGUUGUUUAUUCAUGGCAUAGUAUGACAACCGUGCAAAACAACUC
rnacentral:misc_RNA from 1 species